CGGCACAAAAGAGACCCAUGUGGCUGAACCCAGCACGAGCCCAGAGUGGAACAAGACUUUUAUUUUUCCUUCAGUCUCUUCUGAUGAGCUACUGGAUAAAUCUCUAGAGGUUACGGUUUGGGAUGAGAGUCCAGCUGGAAAUAAAACACUUCUCGGUGGAACAGAAAUACAGUUCCGAAAAACUGACCUCCAAGAUUGUCCGGAGUGGUAUCCCUUAACGAGUUACCAGCCCCCUCUUCCAUCACCGUCGCUAAUUCAGAAGACUCAACAUGGCGGCGUAUCUGGUCAUGACGUAAUACCACAUAAGGCCAUAAAUCAAGCCCGUCAAGGAAGCUUACAUACGUUCUCAGAAAACAAAGAAGAUCAAUCCAAAGACGAGAAGAAAGAUGGAAUUCUAAAAAGUUCAUCAAUGGAUUUUACCU